rnacentral:rRNA from 1 species
GAACGCUGGCGGCGUGCUUAAUACAUGCAAGUCGAGCGGACGGACGGGAGCUUGCUCCCUUAGGUCAGCGGCGGACGGGUGAGUAACACGUGGGUAACCUGCCUGUAAGACUGGGAUAACUCCGGGAAACCGGGGCUAAUACCGGAUGCUUGAUUGAACCGCAUGGUUCAAUCAUAAAAGGUGGCUUUUAGCUACCACUUACAGAUGGACCCGCGGCGCAUUAGCUAGUUGGUGAGGUAACGGCUCACCAAGGCGACGAUGCGUAGCCGACCUGAGAGGGUGAUCGGCCACACUGGGACUGAGACACGGCCCAGACUCCUACGGGAGGCAGCAGUAGGGAAUCUUCCGCAAUGGACGAAAGUCUGACGGAGCAACGCCGCGUGAGUGAUGAAGGUUUUCGGAUCGUAAAACUCUGUUGUUAGGGAAGAACAAGUACCGUUCGAAUAGGGCGGUACCUUGACGGUACCUAACCAGAAAGCCACGGCUAACUACGUGCCAGCAGCCGCGGUAAUACGUAGGUGGCAAGCGUUGUCCGGAAUUAUUGGGCGUAAAGCGCGCGCAGGCGGUUUCUUAAGUCUGAUGUGAAAGCCCCCGGCUCAACCGGGGAGGGUCAUUGGAAACUGGGGAACUUGAGUGCAGAAGAGGAGAGUGGAAUUCCACGUGUAGCGGUGAAAUGCGUAGAGAUGUGGAGGAACACCAGUGGCGAAGGCGACUCUCUGGUCUGUAACUGACGCUGAGGCGCGAAAGCGUGGGGAGCGAACAGGAUUAGAUACCCUGGUAGUCCACGCCGUAAACGAUGAGUGCUAAGUGUUAGAGGGUUUCCGCCCUUUAGUGCUGCAGCAAACGCAUUAAGCACUCCGCCUGGGGAGUACGGUCGCAAGACUGAAACUCAAAGGAAUUGACGGGGGCCCGCACAAGCGGUGGAGCAUGUGGUUUAAUUCGAAGCAACGCGAAGAACCUUACCAGGUCUUGACAUCCUCUGACAACCCUAGAGAUAGGGCUUCCCCUUCGGGGGCAGAGUGACAGGUGGUGCAUGGUUGUCGUCAGCUCGUGUCGUGAGAUGUUGGGUUAAGUCCCGCAACGAGCGCAACCCUUGAUCUUAGUUGCCAGCAUUCAGUUGGGCACUCUAAGGUGACUGCCGGUGACAAACCGGAGGAAGGUGGGGAUGACGUCAAAUCAUCAUGCCCCUUAUGACCUGGGCUACACACGUGCUACAAUGGGCAGAACAAAGGGCAGCGAAGCCGCGAGGCUAAGCCAAUCCCACAAAUCUGUUCUCAGUUCGGAUCGCAGUCUGGCACUCGACUGCGUGAAGCUGGAAUCGCUAGUAAUCGCGGAUCAGCAUGCCGCGGNUGAAUACGUUUCCCGGGCCUUGUACACACCGCCCGUCACACCACGAGAGUUUGUAACACCCGAAGUCGGUGAGGUAACCUUUUGGAGCCAGC